AUCAGGUUCUGGUUAACAUGGUGGCUUGGUGCAUAUACUGGAAGCUAGAACAGAAUUUGCAAUGUCAGAAAUAGCUAGAGAUCAAUGAAGACACAGCGAUUGUGCACGUAUCAAUCAAAAGAUGAAGAUGACUCAAAAGAGAGCCUUGAGCAAUAUUGGCUACGGAUCUAUCAGCAUUAUGAAAAUAUACAAUCACUUAUCUUAUAUAUUGUUUGUUCCAUCAUAUAAUACCAGCACCAUAUUGCUUGUGCAACUUGUCCAUGUAUUGGAUCUUGAUGCUAGAGUUUUCACAAUCUAUAAUGGAAGAAAUCACAGUAAGUGCAAAUUUUGGGAUGUGCUUGGCUAAAAUCUAAUUCUGCAAAGUGCAUUCUGGAGCAACUCAGUUGUACCAUUGGGACGAAUGGUGAACGUUCGUAGGGUUUAUAGUGACGAGGACAAAAGGAUAAUUCUUGUAGCCCUUUUGUGUAAAACAAAGCCAAAUGUGUUGAGUGAUGUUGUAACUAAAGAAGUGGCAGCCCAGUUCAUGGUACCGUUGCGAGUUGUGCAACGUGUAUGGUUUGAUCAUCUUCAAGGUAUUGAGAAUGUUUGUAACAAGAAACCUUUGAAUUGUUGGUGUAAAAGAGUUGAGGUUGAUCCCGAAGCCAUCA